rnacentral:misc_RNA from 1 species
GUGAAUCAUCAAAUUUUUGAACGCAAAUUGCACUCUCUGGUAUUCCGGAGAGUAUGCCUGUUUGAGGGUCAGUUUAAGUAAAAAUCGGUGUGAUUGCUGCCUUUCGUGGUGACGCACCGGAUUUGGGUCGUCCUGCCUUCGGUUAAGUGCCCUAAAAUUUCGCAUGAUUUUUUCGAACGUAUCUAAAUGAUUUUACGUCCGUUUGCGAUAUCGAAUACUAGGUGCGGCCAUCCUCUUGAUCUGCGCCUAUAAUUUG